GGAGCUACAGCUCAGUGGAAGAGCUGCUGCUUUGGAUGCAGAAGGUCCCAGGUUUGAUUCCUGGCAUCUCCA
rnacentral:tRNA from 1 species